rnacentral:lncRNA from 1 species
UCCGCCUGUCCUACGAAGGCCGUCUCGUUUAAUUCUAGGUUGAGGACACUUCGUACAUGCAUCCCACAGAGGAAUGACUGUGAAGAAAACUUGUAAUUCGACAAAAGGAAACAUUUACUUUCAUCUCCAGGAAAUCGAAAGUUAUGCUGCACCGGCGCAGUGGGAGUCGCGAUUUUGGUAACUGCGCGCGCACGCACGCACUGCGACGCUUUUGUUUAUUAGAUUCGUCCAUUCAUCCUGCGCGAGAGGGUGGUGGCUGAACCCGCGUCAGUGCAGGAAAGACGAGCCACUGUGAGUUUGUUUGUUUGUUUGUAAUCCCAAAAUAUUCUAGAAUAUAGUGUAACCAAACUUCAUAUUUUGUCACUGCAGAACGGGG